rnacentral:rRNA from 1 species
UACAGAGGUCUCGAGCGUUGUUCGGAUUCAUUGGGCGUAAAGGGUGCGUAGGCGGCUUUGCAAGUCGGGUGUGAAAUCCCCAGGCUCAACCUGGGAACUGCAUUCGAGACUGCAUUGCUAGAGUAUGGGAGAGGGAAGUGGAAUUUCCGGUGUAGCGGUGAAAUGCGUAGAUAUCGGAAGGAACAUCAGUGGCGAAAGCGACUUCCUGGACCAAUACUGACGCUCAUGUGCGAAAGCGUGGGGAGCAAACAGG